rnacentral:ncRNA from 2 species
CGGUCAUCCGAGGGGAGCCCCGACAUGGGGCUGAGAGUCCGCAAUCGAUGUCUGGCAACAGGCAUGGCAGCGCGGUGACCCUGCUGAACCUGAUCCGGGUCAUGCCGGCGUAGGGACGGAACACAGCGGCAAG